CGGGUAACGCUUCCGAGAGGCCCCACUCCGAGGGGCACUGGGUGAGGGCAGUGGCCGCCUGUGUGGAGAAUCAGACCGGUGGUCAUCUUCGGAGGGAGGACGACAAGCAGACACUGUGCCUCGGAGGACCUCCCAGGGCCCAGUCUGGGCCCCUCCAGGAGUCAGCCUGCUUCUCACGCUGCAGGGGAGGGCAGCCAGGCCCGGAGGUGGCACACGCAGCACUGACCGCCUCUGACCUCAACGGGCGGGGGUGGGGGAGCUGGGGAUGCAAAGGAAGGCUCUGCCUCCCCCACCUCCCUGCCACCCCCACCAAAGUCCCACCUGGCACCUGGAGGCAACCACACACAGCUAAGCGGUGGGAUUAUAACAAUACACACCUGAAACGUUACAUUGCCAUUUGAAACAAGCGGAUGCCCCAACUCGCUAACCUGGUAAUGCCGAGUCCAGGCCCCUCCUUCCAGCAUGGUUCCCUGGCGGGGUCCGGCAGACCGUACCCCCUGCUUUAUACACGACCACGUUGUUCGUGGAUUUCAGUUUAAGGCUGGGUUUCUUUCAAGCGGGCCAAGGACAUAGAAACACUCGCCAAAGCACCCGACUAAAAGGAAUCCUUCUUGAUUCCUAAGAGAUUGUUCCAAUCUUUUACGGUGAUCUCGUCCAAUAGUAACGUCAUCGUAAUGGUCUGAAGUCAGUUUUCUUGCUGGCGUGUCUUCCCCAAGCCUUUAACUGAGUUUUCAUUUUAAAAAAAUAACACUCUCUUCACAUCC